rnacentral:snRNA from 1 species
UCUUACUUCAUUAGCAAUAUAUUAAAAUUGGAACUUUACAGAGAUUAGCACAUCCCCUGUUCAAAUAUGACAUGCAAAUUCAUGAGGCUUUCCAUAUUUUU